GACGAACCGUGCGAACGUUAUUCGGAAUCACUGGGCUUAAAGCGCGUGUAGGCGGACGACCACGUCGACGGCUGAAAGCCCCCGGCUCAACCGGGGGACCGGCCCCGAUACGGGCCGUCUGGAGGGGCGUAGGGGGAGCUGGAACUCACGGUGGAGCGGUGAAAUGCGUUGAGAUCGUGAGGAACGCCCGCGGCGAAAGCGAGCUCCUGGACGCCUGCUGACGCUGAGACGCGAAAGCCAGGGGAGCGAACGGG
rnacentral:misc_RNA from 1 species